UGGGGGAUAUUGCACAAUGGGCGAAAGCCUGAUGCAGCGACGCCGCGUGGGGGAUGAAGGCUUUCGGGUUGUAAACCUCUUUCGCUAUCGAACAAGGCCCGCUUAGGGUGGGUUGAGGGUAUGUGGAGAAGAAGCGCCGGCUAACUACGUGCCAGCAGCCGCGGUAAUACGUAGGGCGCGAGCGUUGUCCGGAAUUAUUGGGCGUAAAGGGCUUGUAGGCGGCUUGUUGCGCCUGCUGUGAAAACGCGGGGCUUAACUUCGGGAGUGCAGUGGGUACGGGCAGGCUUGAGUGUGGUAGAGGUGAGUGGAAUUCCAGGUGUAGCGGUGGAAUGCGUAGAUAUCUGGAGGAACACCGAUGGCGAAAGCAGGUCACUGGGCCAUUACUGACGCUGAGGAGCGAAAGCAUGGGUAGCGAACAGG
rnacentral:rRNA from 1 species